UUUACAUCAGUGUUGGAUUGGAUUCACUGCUAACAUAACAAAGAGUUCUUGUAUCUGUGUCACGCAUAGUUUAAACAGGCACACACUUUUGCCAAAUAUAAGUGGUGACUAAGAUUUAGGUCAUAACACUUACAAUUCAAUAAUAGCGCGUUUCAAGUAGACUAGCGGAUACACCUGCCAGUACAAAGUGAACCAUAAACUUUUUAUACAAAUUAGAACAUACGUCUUUUUUUGAAAUAAA